rnacentral:rRNA from 1 species
UCCGUAGGGUGCGAGCGUUGUCCGGAAUUAUUGGGCGUAAAGAGCUCGUAGGCGGUGUGUCACGUCGUUCGUGAAAACCUGCAGCUUAACUGUGGGCGUGCGGUCGAUACGGGCAUCACUGGAGUUCGGCAGGGGAGACUGGAAUUCCUGGUGUAGCGGUGAAAUGCGCAGAUAUCAGGAGGAACACCGGUGGCGAAGGCGGGUCUCUGGGCCGAUACUGACGCUGAGGAGCGAAAGCGUGGGUAGCAAACAGG